rnacentral:rRNA from 1 species
GAUGAACGCUGGCGGCGUGCCUAAUACAUGCAAGUCGAGCGAACAGAUAAGGAGCUUGCUCCUUUGACGUUAGCGGCGGACGGGUGAGUAACACGUGGGUAACCUACCUAUAAGACUGGGAUAACUUCGGGAAACCGGAGCUAAUACCGGAUAACAUUUGGAACCGCAUGGUUCUAAAGUGAAAGAUGGUUUUGCUAUCACUUACAGAUGGACCCGCGCCGUAUUAGCUAGUUGGUAAGGUAACGGCUUACCAAGGCAACGAUACGUAGCCGACCUGAGAGGGUGAUCGGCCACACUGGAACUGAGACACGGUCCAGACUCCUACGGGAGGCAGCAGUAGGGAAUCUUCCGCAAAGGGCGAAAGCCUGACGGAGCAACGCCGCGUGAGUGAUGAAGGGUUUCGGCUCGUAAAACUCUGUUAUUAGGGAAGAACAAACGUGUAAGUAACUGUGCACGUCUUGACGGUACCUAAUCAGAAAGCCACGGCUAACUACGUG